GACUUCCGUCUGCUCCAUGGUGUUCUUCCUCUCGAGUGUGGCCGCCUCCACCAGUCAGCUCUUUUUUCUGAGGAUUCUGUACUUUUACAGAAGGCGCUGAUUCAGGGGGAGAAAAUGGGUCCUGUGAUCCCACCAGCCAGGCGCCUGAGCCUUGAACACUGUAAGAAUUGCUCUUCUUGUCACCGGCCAACUUCUUGCCUCCUCCAAGGAGUUCUGCAUAAGCGGUCAUCCCUGGUUGAGCAGGAUUGUGUUGGGUGUUUCAGGAGUCAGUGACAUUCAAGGAUGUGGCAGUGGACUUCACUGAGGAAGAGUGGCAGCACUUGGGCCCUGCUCAGAGAGACUUAUACAAAGAAGUGAUGCUGGACAAUUAUAGGAAUCUUGUCUCCCUGGGUAAGAACAACUUUCCUCUGCUGUGAUUUAGGAUUUUCGCAUAGAGAUGAGGGAGGGAGGAGGGAUUGGAAUUCUCAAUUCCUG
rnacentral:lncRNA from 1 species